rnacentral:rRNA from 38 species
UCGCGACCCCAGGUCAGGCGGGACUACCCGCUGAGUUUA